rnacentral:siRNA from 1 species
GCAAGCUAGAAUGCCGAUGG